rnacentral:misc_RNA from 1 species
GAUGAAGAACGCAGCGAAAUGCGAUAAGUAAUGUGAAUUGCAGAAUUCAGUGAAUCAUCGAGUCUUUGAACGCACAUUGCGCCCCCUGGUAUUCCGGGGGGCAUGCCUGUCCGAGCGUCAUUGCUGCCCUCAAGCACGGCUUGUGUGUUGGGCCCCCGUCCCCGGUUCUCCCCGGGGACGGGCCCGAAAGGCAGCGGCGGCACCGCGUCCGAUCCUCGAGCGUAUGGGGCUUUGUCACCCGCUCUGUAGGCCCGGCCGGCGCCAGCCGACACCCCAACUUUAUUUUCUAAGGUUGACCUCGGAUCAGGUAGGGAUACCCGCUGAACUUAAGCAUAUCAAUAUGCGGAGGA